rnacentral:rRNA from 1 species
GACGAACGCUGGCGGCGUGCUUAACACAUGCAAGUCGAACGGAAAGGCCCUGCUUUUGUGGGGUGUUCGAGUGGCGAACGGGUGAGUAACACGUGAGUAACCUGCCCUUGACUUUGGGAUAACUUCAGGAAACUGGGGCUAAUACCGGAUAGGAGCUCCUGCUGCAUGGUGGGGGUUGGAAAGUUUCGGCGGUUGGGGAUGGACUCGCGGCUUAUCAGCUUGCUGGUGGGGUAGUGGCUUACCAAGGCUUUGACGGGUAGCCGGCCUGAGAGGGUGACCGGCCACAUUGGGACUGAGGUACGGCCCAGACUCCUACGGGAGGCAGCAGUGGGGAAUAUUGCACAAUGGGCGGAAGCCUGAUGCAGCAACGCCGCGUGCGGGAGGACGGCCUUCGGGUUGGAAACCGCUUUCGCCUGUGACGAAGCGUGAGUGACGGUAAUGGAUAAAGAAGCACCGGCUAACUACGUG